GACGAACGCUGGCGGCACGCUUAACACAUGCAAGUCGAACGAAGAUGUUUCACCGUAGCUUGCUACACCGAGACAUUUUAGUGGCGGACGGGUGAGUAACACGUGAGCAAUCUGCCUUUCAGAGGGGGAUACCAGUUGGAAACGACUGUUAAUACCGCAUAACAUAUCGAGAUCGCAUGAUAUUGAUAUCAAAGAUUUAUCGCUGAAAGAUGAGCUCGCGUCUGAUUAGAUAGUUGGUGAGGUAACGGCUCACCAAGUCGACGAUCAGUAGCCGGACUGAGAGGUUGGACGGCCACAUUGGGACUGAGACACGGCCCAGACUCCUACGGGAGGCAGCAGUGGGGAAUAUUGCACAAUGGGCGCAAGCCUGAUGCAGCGAUGCCGCGUGAGGAAGAAGGUUUUAGGAUUGUAAACCUCUGUCUUCAGGGACGAUAAUGACGGUACCUGAGGAGGAAGCUCCGGCUAACUACG
rnacentral:rRNA from 1 species